UACGUAGGGUGCAAGCGUUAGUCGGAAUUACUGGGCGUAAAGCGUGCGCAGGCGGUUAUGCAAGACAGAUGUGAAAUCCCCGGGCUCAACCUGGGAACUGCAUUUGUGACUGCAUGGCUGGAGUGCGGCAGAGGGGGAUGGAAUUCCGCGUGUAGCAGUGAAAUGCGUAGAUAUGCGGAGGAACACCGAUGGCGAAGGCAAUCCCCUGGGCCUGCACUGACGCUCAUGCACGAAAGCGUGGGGAGCAAACAGG
rnacentral:rRNA from 1 species